GAAUCCACCUAUGAGAUUGCUUGCCAACAAACAAAUUCCAAAAACUUUGCAUCAAUAAUAUACAGGAUUCUUGUAGAUCAAGUGGUAGUGAAAGUGCUCUCUAAAGGUGGAAAUAAAAAAGAUAUGCCUUUCUAAAUCUUGUGUCUGGAACAAAGGCGGCGCACGCCUAGGUGCAUAAGGCAAUAGGUUCCAGCUUGGUGAGCCUUGAGCCUGAGGCGUUCCUGAGGCGCGCCUUUAAUAACUA
rnacentral:misc_RNA from 1 species